ACACGUAGGUGGCGAGCGUCGUCCGGAAUUACUGGGUGUAAAGGGCGUGUAGGCGGGGGUGCAAGUCAGGUGUGAAAACCCGAGGCUCAACUUCGGGAUUGCAUCUGAAACUGUGCUUCUUGAGUACUGGAGAGGGAAGCGGAAUUCCUAGUGUAGCGGUGAAAUGCGUAGAGAUUAGGAGGAACACCAGUGGCGAAGGCGGCUUCCUGGACAGAGACUGACGCUGAGGCGCGAAAGCGUGGGUAGCGAACAGGAUUAGAUACCCUGGUAGUCCACGCCGUAAACGAUGGAUACUAGGUGUAGGAGGUAUCGACUCCUUCUGUGCCGGAGUUAACGCAAUAAGUAUCCCACCUGGGGAGUACGGCCGCAAGGUUGAA
rnacentral:rRNA from 1 species